rnacentral:rRNA from 1 species
AUUGAACGCUGGCGGCAGGCCUAAAACAUGCAAGUCGAGCGGAGCGGCGGACGGGUGAGUAAUGACUAGGAAUCUGCCUGGUAGUGGGGGAUCACGUCCGGAAACGGGCGCUAAUCCCGCAUAAAAUCAGAUGAUCCUAGGUCGGAUUAGCGAGGUGGUGGGGUAAAGGCCUGCCAAGGCGACGAUCCGUAACUGGUCUGAGGGGAUGAUCAGUCACACUGGAACUGAGACACGGUCCAGACUCCUACGGGAGGCAGCAGUGGGGAAUAUUGGACAAUGGGCGAAAGCCUGAUCCAGCCAUGCCGCGUGUGUGAAGAAGGUCUUCGGAUUGUAAAGCACUUUAAGUUGGGAGGCGUUACCAACAGAAUAAGCACCGGCUAACUUCGUGCCAGCAGCCGCGGUAAUUC